rnacentral:rRNA from 1 species
UACGUAGGGUGCGAGCGUUAAUCGGAAUUACUGGGCGUAAAGUGUGCGCAGGCGGCCGCGCAAGUCGAGUGUGAAAGCCCCGAGCUUAACUUGGGAAUUGCGCUCGAAACUACGUGGCUGGAGUGUGGCAGAGGAAGGUGGAAUUCCAGGUGUAGCGGUGAAAUGCGUAGAUAUCUGCAGGAACACCCGUGGCGAAAGCGGCGCGCUGGACCACUACUGACGCUGAGGAACGAAAGCUAGGGGAGCAAACAGG